UUUUUUUUUAAAGCACCGUUUUCAUUUAUUUCAGUUGUUAUCAGAGAGAGUGGAGCGCUGCCCAGAGCCUAUCGCUUGCCAAUGGCACUAGCUGUCUGUCACCUUUUAUAAAACCCUUUGACCCCAAGACCAAGUGUGUGGUAAGCUUGCAAAGUGUCAGUGCGUUACAGGGGGUGGGGGGAAGGUUUUCUCACGUCCCCUGUCCCCGUUCACUGGCCAAAGGCACCCGUGGCGAGAGAGGCCUUGAGUCCAUCAAGCGCCUCGUUCUGCUCGCACUGGAAGGGAAAUUAUUUUCAGACCAAAUUGGAGCUAAAUGGGACUUAGGACAACAUAAGCUUCUGACCCUCUUCACGGAUCUCAGCCCCUUGCUCUGGGUGUUCGAAAAACACAACUCUGUCCAAUCCCAGAGUCUCAGGUCAGCCAAAUUAAACUUAAAGAGCUGAGCCCAGGCCGAGGCCAGGUAGGUUUUCCAUGAAUUGGCUCCUGGCCUGAGCACACAGGCGCAGCGGGAGGUGGAGCAGGCUAACCCUGAGAUCAGGAAUCAGGGCGCCGGCGGGGGGUCAGGGGGGGCUUGGCAGGACUACCUUCCAGGCCUUGGGUCUUGGGGUAAAUCGCUUCUCUUUUCUGGGCACCAGAUCCCUCACCUACAAAGCAGGGAACUGUGCCCGAUGACCUCCGAGCCCUGCAGGCUAGAGGCUGUGAAGGACGGGGAGUGUGCGGUGCAGGCCUGGAGCGGCCACACCUGGGCUCAAGGCCUGGCCCUGCUCCUUCCUGGUUGCCAGGCAUCACCUGGGCAAGUGACUCACCUCUGCAGCUUGAAGUUCUUGGGCUGAGAAAGGGGAGUGAUCAUGCUACCUUCAAGCGUAAUCACUGCUACCCAAGCCUGGUGCCUGGCUUACUAGGUGAUCAACAGAGGUCCACUGUUACCAUGGCGACCCAGCUGGGUCUGAGGGGGAGAGGCCGAGUCUGUGGGAACAGCCAGAGCACAUGUGGCUGCAGAAGAGAAACCCCCCGUGUGGACGGAGAGGCCCUGAGGUCCUUGCUCCGGGUUCAUUCUUCCCCCGGGGCCUUCUUAGAUCGCUUUUCAUUUAUCAUGUUGAGCUGACAGGUGGAGGCACAGAGAUGAUCCAUUUCAGCACUGGACACCCAACCACCGUCAUCGGGACACUGUGUGUCUCCUGAAAUGCAGCCCAGAGCUGCUGGACGCAUACUCGUGGGGUCUAAGGCUGAGCCCUGCAGUGGGAGGCACCUAUGCCCCUGGGUGGCUUCUGCAGAGCUGCUGCCCUGCAUGUAGCUCUGGUCAAAGGGUGGGUCAGGGGGAGGUCACUUAGGCAGAGGGAUAUUUGAGAAUCACAUGGCACUGGCUGCCCCAGAUGGGGGUAUCGAAGUUGGCCCAGUCCUCAAACGGACCUUUUACUGUCCAAGAGAACAUGUAUCCUAAGGCAGGGGGCGGGGGAGGGGGCGCAGUGGGGCAAGUAGAAAGAUCACUGAGCCACGAGCAGAAGAUACAGGUCCCAGUCCAGGCCCUGGCUCGUUUCCUCACCUGGAGCCGGGCCUGGGUUUCCUUCCCUGUAACCGGAAGACGUAUAUACCUGGUGAUCUCUAAGUGCCACUAGUUAACGGUUCUAAGACAGCCAAGUGACCUUGGCCAAGCCACUUAACCUUUUAGUGUCUUGCCUCAUCUGUUAAAUUAGGCACCAGCCAAGCCCAGGCCCCGACGAGCCAUAGGUGGUGAGCGGUGGUGGAGGCAGGAGUCGUCAUUAUCUGGGAUGCGCUUUCACGCACGCGGCAGAGUCCCGAGCAGGUGUUCAGCAGGUGUUCAGAGGCACCGGCAGUUCAGGAGGCGGAAAGAGGGCCUGUUCCUCUUGGUCGCGCCUCUUCCUCCCAUCGAGAGGAGGACCAGAGGCGGGGAGCCCUCACGAAGAUGCCAGGGGAAGUAAUGCCUGGAAAAGUCAAUCGCCCACCCACCGUGGGGAAGGGGCUGAGGGGGCUACAGGGCGCGGUGACAGCGAGCCGUCGGGGAGACCCUCGGACGCCUCAGUUAGGAGCCUCUGUUCAACAAGCCUCCUCUAAAGGGUUUUUCCCCACCGGGACCACAGCGCUUGAUUUAGUCAAUGGACCUUUUCAAAAGAACAAAAGCCCAUCUCGACAUGUAACAUCUGAAUCGGUCCAGCUUUAAGGAAAGGAAAACCAAAACAGAGAAUAAAAAAGCCCCUCGAGGUCAGAGCCUCCAGGGAGAGGAAGGAAGUGCCUAAAGCAGAUGAAACACGGCACAGGUGGUGCUCAGAGCACUGUCGCGUGUGGCAGGAGGCGCGGUCCCCCUUUGCAGGGGGGCAGACAGACGCUUAGCGAGUUAAGAUACCUGCCCCAUGUUGCCCUGAUCCCAGGGCCACUGGAGCGUGGACUUCCCGCUCCAGCAUGAUGUCACAGAGGAGAUGCUGGGGUCUGGCUGCCUCAGCCUCAGUUGCUCGGGACCUCUCUCCUCUUGCAAGAGCCUAAACAACCAUUCUUUUCCAAAACAAGACGCAGUGGGCUCGCUGGAAUCCACAACGCUUUUCUCCCGGCGGUCAUAAGACGAGCCUUACAAUGUUUGCACGAGUCGGGCUGACGUGGCGUUGGCGGGGGGGAGCAGGGGGAAGAAGUGGUUCAGGGGACACGACCCUCACUGUCAGGAAAUCAAGGGCAUACAAAUUAAGUCGGAAUCCAUUUCUGCAAAGAGAGGCAAGUUCCCAACCAUCUAAAGCUUAUUUCUUUUUUUUCCAGUUUUCUUCUGCAGCUGUGACUUCCACCGGCACAUGGUUUUCAUCAGUCAUAUGCAAAACCGACUGUGGUCUGAAAAUCAAAGCAGUCCUGUAAAUAGUGUAAGACAAGCCCCGCUAAUCACCUUGUGGUCUUGCCUUGUCCUCAGUGUCCUGAACGGCCACUGUAAAUACGGACUCAUCUGGGGUUUCUCCCCGCGUGUCCCAGGAGUCCUCCUUAUAAUAGAAUCUCUACAAAGGGUCUUGGUUCUGCCCCAGUGCCCUUCACCCCAAACCCUCCAAAGGUCCCCAUGAAGGAGGGCCAUCCAACUCUGGGCGCCUUGGAGAGCAAGUGCCUGGCAUGAUGUGCCCUUAUUUUGUCGCGGUGCUCGGGGCGAGGUGAGCCUGGCAUGCUGGUGUGGCUUGAGGAGCCAACAAGGGGGUUGUAACUGGUUCACGGACACAGUCCCCUAACUACGCCAGCCCUCAUGCAGGCCUGGUUUAUUUUUAGGGGGCCAAGCACGCACAACAAGGAAACCAACACACAAGCUGCACAGGCUCGCUGUCAUACUGAGAGCACAGUAUCCCACGCUCGCAGGCUGAGGCCCUCGCCCUCAGCUGGAAUCAAUCGCCCGCCUGCUGGGUUCCCCGGCACACUGGGCCUCUGACCUCAGGCCCGGCCACGGGCUGCCUUGAGCUGGAGCUGUUUAGAUUGGUGUCUAGACUCUGUCAUCCAUAGCUCGGGCUCCUGGCCCGUGAGAAGGCCGAGACUGUAGUCUCAGUAUGUGUUUGAAUUAAAUAAAAGGCAGUUUUAGGAGCCCUUCAACCAACAACCAACUGGGAUCCAUUUCUAGACAUCAAAGUAUUGGGAUGAAAUCUGGCUCCUUCUAAAUCAUAGGGUAUUUGUCAAUGUGUACUGAAACGAUCAAAAUUACCUAGUGGUUCUCUCUGAGACUCUCUGCGGAGGCCUUCUGGAGCCUGGCCAGUUCCUCUGGGGCUAGAGCAGCUUGCCGCCAGCUUCUGCCACUGCAGGGCCAGGCCUUGCUCAGGAGUUGGGGGCAGGGGGGGUGUAGGCGCCUCUGCUCCCUUGGCUCCUCCUCUUGGGGGAGGAGGUCACAAGAGGGCCAGCUGGCCAAAUGAGAAGGAGGGACAGGACGAUUCACGUGGGCUCCUGAGCCUCCCCAGCCACAGGGGUGCCUUCCUCCCGGGCUCCCGGCUCUGUCCCCAGGCACCUGCCACAGUCCAACCACUCCCCCGCAGCCCACUAGACACUCCAUCGCGGCAAGACCCGCUGGGCACAUUCGCCACCUCUGCACCGCGGCUUCCAGUCUAGUGCCCAACACAUAGCAGCUCAAUACAUACUUGCAAAAACACUCUUGGCUUAUAUAAGGCGUACUUUAGAAUUAGAAAAUGUGUACAACAGCAAGAAACCCCAGAGGCUGUAUAGCGGGGAAGGGGACACUAAGGGCCGGAGCAGCUGGUGGUCCUUCUCACAGGGCACAAGUCUUCUCUGGAAGCCCAUUGGGGGCAGACUUGGGGGAUGGGGCAUCCUUAGCGCCCAUGGCGCUUGCCUCCCUUAGGGCCUGACGGCAGGAAUGGCUGGCUGGCUGGCUGGCUGGCUGGCUGGCUGCCCAAGGACCUGCACUAAGGCCCCAGAGCUAGUGGCUAGAAUUGGGGCCCAUCCUCCUAAUCUCCUUCACUCCCAGGCUGAUGCUCUUUCCAUCAUGAACCUGCCUGAUGAGACCUGGGAGGAGGGGGCGGCAGCAUGGCCACUGAGAAAGGCGGGGUCCCCUCGCGCCGGGAGGGGUCAGCUGAGAUGGUGCACCUGGCUGGGUUAAGGUGCGGUCAGAGAGUGGGUGUGGGGGACCUAAGGAAUGGGGUGCUGCCAGAGGCCUGGGACCCCAGGGCAGAACCACCACCCAUGUCUAUCCUGCUUUCCCACCUGCACCUGCUGGGUGUGCCUCGCAGGGCGGGUGCCCUGGCAUCAGGCAUCCGAAGUUCUCUGCUCGCUGUGUCCAGGGCUGCUGGAGGGGCUCUGCACUGGCCCUGCUAACGGCCACGUGGGGCCCGUGGAGGCUGCUGGGGUCUCUCCACAGGCCCGGGCAGGAGCUCACGUCCCUCACCUGCACUGGGCUGCCGGGGAGAGGCCGGCUGCCUGUCUGCCGGCGGUGAGUCACCGUCACGAUCACAGAUGACCCUCUGCUCCUGACCGAGCUGACCAUGCGGAGUGCGGGCGCCUGGUCGCAGCCCCACGGGGACGCACCUCCAGGCGCCUGUUCAGCAUCGCCAGGAAUCACAGGAAAGGACCACCCUACCCCCCAAGGACUGAGACAACCCUGAGGCCAUCAACUCUUUGGAGGAUAAAACAAUCUCCUCCCCAGAGAGUCUCUCUGGGGCUCCUAUUAAAGUAUCAAUUGCCUGGUUGUAAAUUUUUCUCCCACUAGACUCUCAGCAUCUAGAGGCCACAGCUCUGUCUCCCACAGCUGCUCAGCAGCUGAAAUGAUAUUCCCGGACGCCUGGCUCUUUGGGCCUGCAGAUGGAAAAGCAGCCAUUCCAAAAGAAAGAAAAAGAAAAGAAGUUCCCAUUGUGGCUCAGCGGGUUGAGAACCCAACUAGUAUCCAUAAGGAUCCCUGGCCCCCACUCAGUGGGUUAAGAAUCUGGCAUUGCUGUGAGCUGUGGUGUAGGUCGCAGAGGCAGCUCAGAUCUGGCAUGGCUGUGGCUGUGGUGUAGGCCAGUAGCUGUAGCUCCAAUUCGACUCCUAGCCUGGGAACCUCCAGAUGCCGCAGGUACAGCCCUAAAAAGAAAAGAAAAGAAAAAAAAGAAGAAACGGCCGAAUGGGAGAGCAUGCCUGGGGUCCGCCCCCUCUGCUAGGGGGCAAGGGCCUUCCUGGGAUCUUUAGGCAGGCUCUGCUAGGCUGGGGGUGCGGGCAAACUCCACGGCAGGUGGGCAGGAGGCAGAACUCUGGCAGGGAGCUAGCCUUACGGGUCCUUUCAAUUACGCUGAGAUGCUCGGCCAGGAUGGGGAGCGCUCACCUGGGCUGCUGGCCCGCAGGGCUCACUCCACGCUGCCCGAGCCCAGGGCCCCGCACAUGCUGGUGACAGCCAGUGGCUCUGUGGGGUUGUGUGCCAGUUACAGAGAGGGAGGGAGGGGACGAGGGAGGGAAGGCGCGGAAGGAAAGGAGGGACAGACACAGGAUGAGGAUAAAUGCUAUUCACACACGGUACGAAGCAGGUUUGCUCAAUGAUAGAUGGUGAUCCGUUAGUGGGUUGGGAGAUCCACCGAGUGGGUCCUAGUCAGCGUUAAAGUAAAAUGAAAUAAAAAUCAGAGUACAUCACAGGUGGCAAGGAGAAGUAUUUUUCUGCGACACUUUUGUGGAUAUACAAUGUCUUCCCGGGGAUGGUGGCAAAAAAAUCUGGAAGGUGGGGAGGUGCCCACGACACGUGAGCCGUCGUGCUCUUGGUUUGCAGCUAUGCUAUUUUACCUGUGUUCCUCCUAAUGGCCCUGCUACCAGGGAGGUGUUAUUGCAGGUUUCUCCCAGCCUCUGAAAGUCAGGCAUCCCUAUGAAAUCUACUUCUGAACGCAUCUCGCCAAUGGACGCACAAGACAAAGCCAAACAAAGCACAGACGCGUGCAGACACAGUUCAAGCUGUGGUGGCUUGAGGCCGACAUGCCGAGAGUGGUUCCCGGGGAAGGAGUUUGUCGGGGCCCCUCUGGCUGCUCGAGGAGCUGGGGGUGGGGAGAAGGCGGCCUUUAUAAGAGCUGGCUGCAAACCCAACGCUGAACGCGAUCUUUCCUUUUUGGCUUUUGUUGGUUUGUUUGUUUUUUAGGGCCACGCCAGAGCAUAGGGAGGAGGUUCCCAGGCUAGGGGUCAAAUCAAAACUGCAGCUGCCGGCCUACACCACAGCCACCGCAGCACCUGAUCUGAGCCACAUCUGCAACCUACACCAUAGCUUGAGGCAACGCUGGAUCCUUAACCCACUAUUGGUCAGAUUCUUAACCCACUGAGCCACAAAGAGAACUUCAGCUUUUUCAAUAGAAGUGAAAAUCCUCUUUGGAUUUCUUUUAGUUAGCGAAACCAGGUACUAAUACAGGUCUUUUGUAAAAGCGAAGUGGCAUAAAGCAUACUCUCAAAAAGCAAGGGGCACCUACAUCUUUUAUUUUUGCCCAUGAGAAAUCCACGAUUCAGAGACGCAAAGUAAAUUUUCUAAGGUCACACAGCUAAUAGGUGGCGAUGCCAGUUAUGACUCCACAGUGCUCGACUCCAAUGUGUACCUUCUUUCCAUACCGCCAACAUUUCCAGCGGAAGAAGCGCUGGCGAGUGAGUCUAGAGCCCAGGCCUCCGCCUCUGGAUCUGCUGUGUGACGCUGAAUCACUGCUCUGUUUCCUUCUCUACACCAAGAGGGCACGAGAGAGAUGAUUUCUCAAGUUCUUGGAACAUCGUUUUAGGGAG
rnacentral:lncRNA from 1 species